AGCUCGUAGUUGGAUUUCUGGUUCGGCGUUCCUGGUCCUCGGCCACUAGAUGGCCGUGAGUACCGGUUGUGACGCUAGCCAUCCUUCGGGAGAGCGCGCGGUGCUUAACGGCGCUGCGCGCCAUCUCGAUCCUUUACUUUGAACAAAUUAGAGUGUUUAAAGCAGGCUAAUGCCUUGAAUACCUUAGCAUGGAAUAAUAAGAUAGGACUUUUGGCCUAUUUUGUUGGUCUUUAGGACAAGAGUAAUGAUUGAUAGGGACAGUUGGGGGUGCUAGUAUUGAAUGGCCAGAGGUGAAAUUCUUGGAUUCAUUCAAGACUAACUAAUGCGAAAGCUUUCACCAAGGAUGUCUUCUUUAAUCAAGAACGAAAGUUGGGGGAUCGAAGACGAUCAGAUACCGUCGUAGUCUCAACCAUAAACUAUACCGACUAGGGAUGAGUGGACGUUGUUUUUUACUG
rnacentral:rRNA from 1 species